AUUGAACGCUGGCGGCAGGCCUAACACAUGCAAGUCGAGCGAGCGGCGGACGGGUGAGUAAUGCCUGGGAAUUGUCCAGACGGGGGGGAUAACAGUUGGAAACGACUGCUAAUACUGCAUACGAUUGGAUUGCCCAGGUGGGAUUAGCUAGUUGGUGAGGUAAUGGCUCACCAAGGCGACGAUGCCUAGCCGGUCUGAGAGGGUGAUCGGCCACACUGGAACUGAGACACGGUCCAGACUCCGACGGGAGGCAGCAGGGGGGAAUAUUGCACAAUGGGGGAAAGCCUGAUGAAGCCAGGCCGCGUGUGUGAAGAAGGUCUUCGGGUUGUAAAGCACUUUCAGCGAGGAGGCGUUACUCGCAGAGGAAGCACCGGCUAACUCCGUGCCAGCAGCCGCGGUAAUUC
rnacentral:rRNA from 1 species